CGAACGCUGGCGGCGUGCUUAACACAUGCAAGUUGUACGGGGACUAUUUGGGAGCUUGCUCUUGAAUAGUUCUAGUAGCGAACGGGUGAGUAACACGUGAGAAAUCUACCCCCUAGACCGGGACAGCCCACCGAAAGGUGGAUUAAUACCGGAUGUGAUCAUAAGGUGAGAGCCCUUAUGAUUAAAGGAUGGCUGAGGCUUGCAAGCUAUCGCUAAGGGAUGAGCUCGCGGCUGAUUAGCUUGUUGGUAGGGUAACGGCCUACCAAGGCAACGAUCAGUAGCCGGCCUGAGAGGGUGACCGGCCACACUGGAACGGGGACACGGUCCAGACUCCUACGGGAGGCAGCAGUGGGGAAUUUUCCACAAUGGGCGCAAGCCUGAUGGAGCAACGCCGCGUGAGUGAUGAAGGCCUUCGGGUCGUAAAGCUCUGUCAUGCGAGAAUAAAGCUUUAGGGUAAAUAAUCCUAGAGUCUGAUUGUAUCGCAGGAGGAAGACACGGCUAACUCU
rnacentral:rRNA from 1 species